rnacentral:rRNA from 2 species
GACGAACGCUGGCGGCGUGCCUAAUACAUGCAAGUAGAACGCUGAAGGAGGAGCUUGCUUCUCUGGAUGAGUUGCGAACGGGUGAGUAACGCGUAGGUAACCUGCCUGGUAGCGGGGGAUAACUAUUGGAAACGAUAGCUAAUACCGCAUAAGAGUAGAUGUUGCAUGACAUUUGCUUAAAAGGUGCAAUUGCAUCACUACCAGAUGGACCUGCGUUGUAUUAGCUAGUUGGUGGGGUAACGGCUCACCAAGGCGACGAUACAUAGCCGACCUGAGAGGGUGAUCGGCCACACUGGGACUGAGACACGGCCCAGACUCCUACGGGAGGCAGCAGUAGGGAAUCUUCGGCAAUGGACGGAAGUCUGACCGAGCAACGCCGCGUGAGUGAAGAAGGUUUUCGGAUCGUAAAGCUCUGUUGUAAGAGAAGAACGAGUGUGAGAGUGGAAAGUUCACACUGUGACGGUAUCUUACCAGAAAGGGACGGCUAACUACGUGC